ensembl:lncRNA
AUUUCUUACUGUGAUGUAACUUCCUGCCAUGAUGUUCUCACAUAAAGUGAGGAUUUGGAAAUACACACAUUCCUGACUGAACUGUUCCUGUGGCAGCAUGUACGUUUCGAAAAGGGUUUGGUGUGAGGAGUGGGGUUUGGUGUGAGAAGGUAAGAUUUGGUGUGAGACAGUGGGGUUUGGUGUGAGGAGUGGGGUUUGGUGAGAGGAGUGGGGUUUGGUGUGAGGAGUGAAAUUUGGUAUGAGGAGUGGGGUUUGGUGUGGGGUUUGGUGUGAGGUUUGGUGUGUGGAGUGAGGUUUGGUGUGUGGAGUGAGGUUUGGUGUGAGGAGUGGGGUUUGGUGUGAGUAGGUGAGAUUUGGUGUGAGGAGGUGGUUUUUGGUGUGAGGAGUGGGGUUUUGUGUCGGAGUUGGGGUUUGGUGUAAGGAGUGGUGUUUGGUGUUAGGAGGUGGGGUCUGGUUUGAAGAGUAGUGUUUAGUGUGAGGAGGUGGUUUUUGGUGUGAGGAGUGGGGUUUUGUGUCGGAGUUGGGUUUGGUGUAAGGAGUGGUGUUUGGUGUUAGGAGGUGGUGUUUGGUGUGAGGAGUGAGGUUUGGUGUGAGAAGUGGGGUAUGGUGUGAGAAGUGGGGUUUGGUGUGAGGAGUGGGGUGAGGAGUGGGGUUUGGUGUGAGGAGUGGGGUUUGGUGUGGGAGUGGGG